rnacentral:tRNA from 1 species
GACACUUUGGCCGAGUGGUUAAGGCGACAGCCUGCUAGUUCAGAUGAAAAGCUGUUAUCUUCGGAUGCGAGAGUUCGAAUCUCUCAGGUGUCG